UACGUAGGGGGCGAGCGUUGUCCGGAAUUACUGGGCGUAAAGAGCUCGUAGGCGGUUUGUCGCGUCUGCCGUGAAAGUCCGGGGCUCAACUCCGGAUCUGCGGUGGGUACGGGCAGACUAGAGUGCAGUAGGGGAGACUGGAAUUCCUGGUGUAGCGGUGAAAUGCGCAGAUAUCAGGAGGAACACCGAUGGCGAAGGCAGGUCUCUGGGCUGUAACUGACGCUGAGGAGCGAAAGCAUGGGGAGCGAACAGG
rnacentral:rRNA from 1 species